CCGUUGCGACCCCAGGUC
rnacentral:rRNA from 1 species